rnacentral:tRNA from 1 species
CCUUCGAUAGCUCAGUUGGUAGAGCGGUGGACUGUAGAGGAUCAAGUGUAGAAAUCCAUAGGUCGCUGGUUCAAAUCCGGCUCGAAGGA